GCAAGGGGAGCUUGCACAGGUGCUGCAUGGCUGUCGUCAGCUCGUGUCGUGAGAUGUUGGGUUAAGUCCCGCAACGAGCGCAACCCUCGUGUCCUGUUGCCACCCCUGCGCAAGCAGGGAGCACUCUGGACAGACUGCCUCGCUUAAACGGGGAGGAAGGUGGGGAUGACGUCAAGUCAGUAUGGCCCUUACGGCCAGGGCUGCACACGUACUACAAUGCCCGGUACAAAGGGAAGCAAGACCGCAAGGUGGAGCAAAUCCCCUAAAACCGGGCCCAGUUCAGAUUGUCGUCUGCAACUCGACGGCAUGAAGCUGGAAUCGCUAGUAAUGGCGCAUCAGCUACGGCGCCGUGAAUACGUUCCCAGGCCUUGUACACACCGCCCGUCACAUCAUGGAAGCUGGUUAUGCCCGAAGUCGUUACUCUAACCGUUUGGAGGAGGACGCCUAAGGUAGAAUUAGUGACUGGGGUGAAGUCGUAACAAGGUAACCGUACUGGAAGG
rnacentral:rRNA from 1 species